rnacentral:rRNA from 1 species
CCUACGGGUGGCAGCAGUGGGGAAUAUUGGGCAAUGGGCGCAAGCCUGACCCAGCAAUGCCGCGUGAAGGAAGAAGGCUUUCGGGUUGUAAACUUCUUUGCCAGGGGAAGAGCAGAAGACCGUUCCCUGAAGACUAACCCCGGCUAACUACCUUCCAGCAGCCGCGGUUAUACGUAGGUGGCAAGCGUUGUCCGGAUUUACUGGGUGUAAAGGGCGUGUAGGCGGGAAGGCAAGUCAGAUGUGAAAACUGGAGGCUCAACCCCCAAAUUGCAUUUGAAACUGUUUUUCUUGAGUGCUGGAGAGGCAGACGGAAUUCCGGGUAUAGCGGUGAAAUGCGUAGAUAUAAGGAGGAACACCAGUGGCGAAGGCGGACUGCUGGACAGCAACUGACGGUGAGGCGCGAAAGCGUGGGGAGCAAACAGGAUUAGAUACCCGGGUAGUC